GGUACUUACUAGUAUUCCAGUUACUUCCAAAGGCAAACGACAGUUAUCUUUAUAUAUACUGUCAAAAAUGCGUUUCUUAUACAUUGUUAUGAUGCUUGUAUUAGUUCUAACAAAGUUGUCAGCGGGAUCUGGGACUGGGGGAAAUAUAAAUCUGGGAUCUGGAUCUGGGUCUGGGUCUGGGUCUGGGUCUGGAUCUAAGACUA